CAGCGGGGCGCCCAGACGAACCUGAAGGGCGCUCACUCAGCGGCGGCCGCGGCCGGCGCGUCCCCGCAGGCGGCUCUCCCGGGGCGGGUAACCCACUUUGUGCAUUUCUGAAUGAAAUGAAAAAGGCAUAAAAUUAUAUCUGGCCCCCUGCUUUGGCUGAAAUAUAUAGAAAGAAGAAUUUGGCAGCAAGGAGAUCCAACCAGUCCAUCCUAAAGGAGAUCGGUCCUGGGUGUUCAUUGGAAGGACUGAUGCUGAAGUCUCUGAAACACUAAUACUUUGGCUACCUCAUGUGAAGAGUUGACUCAUUGGAAAAGACCCUGAUGCUGGGAGGGAUUGGGAGCAAGAGGAGAAGGGGACGACAGAGGAUGAGAUGGCUGGAUGGCAUCACCGACUCAAUGGACAUGAGUUUGAGUAAACUCCGGGAGUUGGUGAUGGACAGGGAGGCCUGGCGUGCUGUGAUUCAUGGGGUCGCAAAGAGUCGGACACAACUGAGCGACUGAACUGAACUGACUGAUCAAAAUUACAAAUGUAUGCAUACUCUGAACCUCCAAUUUCACCUCUAGGGAUCUAGCCCACAGAUGUAGUUCAACACAUGAGAAAUGACAAGGUAUUUCUUAUCCUUGAAACAGCUUAAAUAUAUCCAUCAACAAGACACUAAAUUAUGAUAUAACCAUACAUUUGACCUCUAUGUAGCUGUUAACAACAACAACAACAAAAAGAAACUAAGUUCUUCAUGUUUUAAUAUUAAGAUUUCUGGGGCUUCCUUGGUGGCUGCAUGGUAAAGAACCUGCCUGCCAAUGCAGGAGACAUGGGUUUGAUCCCUGUUCUGGAAAGAUCCUACAGCAACUGAGCCCAUGCACCACAACUAUUGAGCCUGGACUCCAGACCCUGGGAACCACAACUUCUGAAGCCCCCAUGACCUGGAGCCCAUGCUCUGCAACAAGAGAAGCCACUGCAGUGGGAAGCCUGCACACCACAACUAGGGAGUAACCCCUGCUUGCUGCAACUAGAGAAAAGCCCACACAGGAAUAAAGACCCAGCACAGCCAGAAAAUAAAUAAUGAAUAUUUUUUUUAAAAAUUAAGAUUUCCAAGAUUUUUUUGUUCAAUGAAAAAAGCGGAAAAAUGGAACAGAAUAAUGUACUAGCAUGUGUAUGUAUUAAACUAGGACAAAGUAACUGUUGAGUUAUGAGAAAUCUGUGGAUGGAAGAUAUAGAAAGGACUUUUCACUGUAUUCCUAUGUAAACUUUGAUAUUCAAACCAUGAAAAGGAUUUAUCUAUUCAAACAAAAAAAUAUUUAAUAUUCUCUAGUAUCUUUAUUUUGUUAUUAAAACAUUCAGGUUUCAUCUAUUUUACCAAAGUUCACCUGGUUAGAAUGAGAAUAUCAGGUAUAUUAGUACACAUUCUCAGGUUUAAAAAUUCAGAGUUAUUUUCAUUAAGUUCAACUAUCUUUAACAAUCUAAGAGUUACAAUAUUUAGUUUGGGGCUUAGUAUAAAUCAUAGCAAAUGUAGGUACAUUUUCAAGAUUGCUUUAUUUUUCUUUAAGUAGAGACUUAAGUUUUAAUGAAUUGGAUCCUCUAUUUUAGAUAAUAAAAAUUUUAUGGACCAUUUGUCCAUCUCCUAAUUAUGGUUGAGAAAAAACACUGAAGGCAUGUGUUUCUGUAUGUAUCUGUUCACUGGCCCACUUUGUAAUGCCAGCUGCCUCCUGUUUCCACAGGUUACACAGAUGCUCUAGAAAUUAUUUUGCCUAAUAUGUUUCAGUAUUUGAUUGUAUUUAUUUGUGGACUUAAUUUCCAGAAAUAUCAAAGGGAAUUAUAAUCAUAGGCAUGGCAUUCCAAUUUACAUAAUACCAUCUCUUUAAGGAUUUUAAAAACUUUGUUAAUAUUGUCUUGUGAAAUCUCACCAUUUUCACCAUGUAAAUUUACAUGAUCAGUUUUGUACACCCAUUAAAAACAAGUGCAGGCAUGAAUAAUUACGACUUAGGGAAAAUUGCCACCUGGAACUUUUCAAAAUUAUAUAGGCAGAUGGGACUUCCUCAGCGGUCUAGCAGUUAAGACUCUGAGCUUCCACUGUAGGAGGCUCCAGUUCGAUCCCUGGUUCAGGAACUAAGAUCCCACAGGUGAUGUAGUCCAGCCAACUAGUUUGGGGAAAAAAAAAAAAAUUAUAUAGGUAGGGCUUUCUCGAACAAAAUUAGUUGUUCAGUUGCUAAGUCAUGUCCAACUCGUUUUGACACUAUGAACUGCCAGACUUCCCUGUCCUUCACUAUCUCCCUGAGGACAUGAGCUGAAACUCGUGUCCAUUGAGACAGUGAUGCCAUCCAGCCAUCUCAUCCUCUGUCUUCCCCUUCUACUCUUGCCUUCAAUCUUUCCCAGAAUCAGGAUCUUCCAAUGAGUCAGCUGUUCGAAUCAGGGCUGAAGUAUUGAAGCUUCAGCUUCAACACCAGUCCUUCCAAUGAAUAUUCAGGGUUGAUUUCCUUUAGGAUUGAUUGGUUUGAUCUCCUUGCAGUCCAAGGGACUCUCACAAGUCUUCUCCAGCACCACAGUUCGAAAACACCAGUUCUUCAGUGCUCAGCCUUCUUUAUGGUCUAACUCUCAUACCUGUACACAACUACCUGAAAAACCAUAGCUUUGACUAUAUGGACCUUUGUCAGCAAAGAGAUGUGUCUGCUUUUUAAUAUGCUGUCUAGGUUUGUCAUAGCUUUUCUUCCAAGGAGCAAGUGUCUUUUAAUUUCAUGGCUGCAGUCGCAGUCCACUGUGAUUUUGGAGCCCAAGAAAAUGAAAUCUGUCACUAUUUCCACUUUUUCUCCAUCUCUUUGCCAUCAAGUGGUAAGACUGGACGCCAUGAUCUUCAUUUUGUGAAUGUUGACUUUUAAGUCAGCUUUUUCACUCUCCUCUUUCGCCUUCAACAAGAGGCUCUGUAGUUUCUCUUCACUUUCUGCCAUUAAAGUGGUAUCAUGGGCAUAUCUGAGGUUAUUGAUAUUUCUCCCAGAAAUCUUGAUUCCAGCUUGUGAGUCAUCCAGUGCAGCAUUUUGUAUGAUGUAUUCUUCAUAUAAGUUAAAUAAGCCUUGAUGUACUCCUUUCCCAAUUUUGAACUAGUCCGCUGUUCCAUGUCCGGUUCUAAUUGUUGCUUCUUGUCCUGCAUACAAGUUUCUCAGGAGGCAGGUAAUGUGUUCUGGUAUUCCUAUCUCUUUAAGAACAUCCCACAGAUAGUUGUGAUCCAUACAAAGGGCUUUAGCAUAGUCAAUGAAGCAGAAGUGGAUGUUUUUUGGAAUUCUCUUGCUUUUUCUAUGAUCCAGUGUAUGUUGGUAGUUUGAUCUCUGGUUCUUCUACCUUUUCUAAAUCCAGCUUGUACAUCUGAAAGUUCUCGAUUCAUUUACUGCUGAAGCCUAGCUUGAAGGAUUUUGAGCAUAAUUUUGCUACUAUGUGAAAUGAGUGCAAUUGUAUAAUAAUAUGAACAUUCUUUGGCAUUGCCUUUCUUUGGGAUUGGAAUAAAAACUGACCACUGCUGAAAAUUAGUAAAAUUUAGACUAUUGUCAGCCAAUCAAAUAUAUUUGUAUUGAUAAAUUUUUCUGCCUAUAGCCUCCAAAUAAAAUAUGCAUUCAUUUCACUUUUGUAUUUAACUCCAACAUUAAAAAAAGGCAGUAAGGAAAUGACCCUAAAAUAAAGAUGAAUAAUCCAUAAUUCAUUAUUUAAGCCUUUUACACUGCAUGAGCAACUUUUAAUAUUUACCAAAACUAGACAGUAGUGCAGUGUUUCAAUGUGAAACAUAGUUAAGGUAGAAAUACUAUUUCUUGAUUUAAAAAUAAAGCUACUUCCCUAACUAGAAACAAGGCAAGGAUAUCUGCUUUCACCACUUCUAGUCAACAUUGUACCAGUGCUUCUUAGCAAGUAACUGGUGAUAAGUAAAUAUGCAGAUAACACUUUAUGUAAACAUAUGUAAUUUGGUAUCGUUGAUGAAAGUGAAAGUUGCUCAGUCCUGUCUGACUCUUUGAGACCCCCAGGGACUGUAUAGGAUUCAAACUGUAUAGGUUCAAACCCAAGGAUUGAACCCAGGUCUUCCACAUUGCAGGCAGAUUCUUUACCAGCUGAGCCACCAGGGAAGCCCAAGAAUACUGAAUACUGAAAUGAGUAGGCUCUUCCUUCUCCAGGGGAUCUUCCCUGCCCAGGAAUCGAACCUGCAUUGCAGGUGGAUUCUUUACCAGCUGAGCUACCAGGCAUCCAAACAAAUCAUGUUACUAAAAUUCAUAUGAUAGGUGCAUCAGGCUGGGUGGGAGGAGUAAAUGAGAUAAAAGCAUCUAACCCCUUCUCCUGCCACCUAACAUUGGGAAGAUCCCCAGGAGAAGGAAAUGGCAACCCACUCCAGUAUUCUUGCCUGGGAAAUCCCAUGGACAGAGUAGCCUGGCGGGCUACGGUCCAUGGGGUUGCAAGAGUCGGAUAUGACUUUGGGACUAAACUACCAACAUUGGGCAGGUGGUCAGUAAUUGAUAAAAUUGAAGUUCUGUAGAGUUUUUUUCAGCUCUUAGUAAAAGAGUAAUUUGUCUUAAAAUUGUUAUAAAGUUUACAGAUUUACCCAGGUAGAAGAUGAAAGUAUACCUCUUUCUUUGGUUGGGUUCCUCCAGUAACCUGAGGCAAGGAUUAAAGUGCAAGAAGAUUGGAAGGUGAUGGAAGGACCAGGGUUAGGGGUGAGGAAGUGAGAUGGGGAAGAAGGCAGUCACUCCAGGGUGCUAAAUCCAGCCUACAGGCACUUGGAGGUUAAUCCCACUACCGAGAUUCUGAGAGCCAAGAAAUAGUAACCUCUCUUUUAUUUUCAAAUAAAACUGAGCGGCUCUAAGCUCAAAUACAAACUUGAUUUCGUGGGAUUUUCAAAACAUAUGUGCAGAUGGGGCUGGCCAGCACAAUUGCAUUUUCCCAAAUAUGCUCCAUGAGUCCUCCAGCUCCACAAUAGCAGGAGCCUAGGCCAUUUUUAGUUGAGCCUGUGAAAUUUACAUUGUUUGCAGCCUUUGUACUUUCAAUUCACCCUAAUAAUCAUGACUAAUAUUUGAUUGAGGAAUCAAUCCUGGAGAAUUGUCUCAGUUCCACACUUCAAAAGUCACAUUUUGGGGAAGGAGUAAAUUAGGAGGUUGGGAUUAACAUAUACACACUACUAUACAUAAAAUAGAUAAUCAACAAGGACCUACUGUAUAACAUAGGGAACUCUACUCAAAACUCUUUAAUAACCUAUAAAGGAAAAAAAAUCUGAUAAAGAAUAAAUAUAUAUGAAUAUAUACAUGAAUAAAUAUAUAUGAAUAACCAAGUCAUUUUGCUAUACAUCAGAAAAUAACACAACAUUGUAAAUCAACUAUACUCCAACAUAAAAAUUUUAAUAAAUUUCCAAAAAGAAACAUGUUUUUGUACAAUCCAAAUUGUAUUAAAAAUAAUAGAAUAUUAAAA